CUCAAAAUGAUGAUAAAAUGUCACUGAACAAGCUAGCGGCCUCUAUUUUUGAGAAUGUUGGCUUUCAAAGGAUGUUCGCAUUUGCGAGGCAUUUGUCUGAUUCAUAA
rnacentral:snoRNA from 1 species